rnacentral:rRNA from 1 species
AGGACGAACGCUUGCGGCGUGCCUAAGAAAUGCAAGUCGAACGGGGAGGCUUCGGUCUCCUAGUGGCGAACGGUCGCGUAACACGUAAGCAACCUGCCCUGAAGUGGGGGACAACAGCUUGAAAGAGCUGCUAAUACCGCAUGUGGAUAUUAUUCGGCAUCGGAUUGUAUCUAAAGCUUUAUGCGCUUCAGGAUGGGCUUGCGGCCUAUCAGCUUGUUGGUGGGGUAACGGCCUACCAAGGCUUUGACGGGUAGCUGGUCUGAGAGGACGAUCAGCCGGAUUGGGACUGAGAUACGGCCCAGACUCCUACGGGGGGCAGCAAUUAGGAAUCUUGCACAAUGGGGGAACCCUGAUGCAGCGACGCCGCGUGCGGGAUGACGGCAUUCGUGUUGUAAACCGCUUUUAUCGGGGAAGAAGAAUGUGACGGUACCCGGUGAAUAAGCCCGGCUAACUACGUGCCAGCAGCCGC